UGAAUACGAGACGCUAAGGCGUCGAAGUAGUGUAUGUCAUACUUCCAAGAAAAGCUUGCACUGUCAUAAGUAAAAAAUGCCUGUACCAUAACCGACACAGGUGGGUAGGUAGAGUAUACUAAGGGGCGCGAGACAACUCUCUCUAAGGAACUCGGCAAAAUAACUCCGUAACUUCGGGAGAAGGAGUACCUUAUUCUAUAAGGUUGCAAUAACAAGAUCCAAGCAACUGUUUAUCAAAAACACAGGUCUCCGCUAAGUCGUAAGACGAUGUAUGGGGGCUGACGCCUGCCCAGUGCCAGAAGGUUAAAGAAGUCGGUUAGCAUUAGCGAAGCUGGUAACUGAAGCCCUGGUGAACGGCGGCCGUAACAAUAACGGUCCUAAGGUAGCGAAAUUCCUUGUCGGGUAAGUUCCGACCCGCACGAAAGGCGUAAUGAUUUGGAUACUGUCUCGGAGAGGGGCUCGGUGAAAUAGACUUGUCUGUGAAGAUGCGGACUACCUGCACCAGGACAGAAAGACCCUAUGAAGCUUUACUGUAACUUGAAAUUGAAAUUGGACUUUAUUCGCGCAGUAUAGGUGGGAGGUGUUGAUUAUAAUCUUGCGGGAUUAUCGGAGCCAUCAGUGAGAUACCACUCUUGUAAUGUUAGAUUUCUAACUUUGAAUCAUUAUCUGGUCAAAGGACAGUUUCAGGCGGGCAGUUUGACUGGGGCGGUCGCCUCCCAAACGGUAACGGAGGCGUACAAAGGUUUCCUCUGAACGGGUAGAAAUCGUAUCUAGAGUGUAAAGGCAUAAGGAAGCUUGACUGUGAGACCUACAAGUCGAACAGGGACGAAAGUCGGUCUUAGUGAUCUGACGGUACUGAGUGGAAAGGCCGUCACUCAACGGAUAAAAGUUACUCUAGGAUAACAGGCUGAUCUCCCCCAAGAGUUCACAUCGACGGGGAGGUUUGGCACCUCGAUGCCGGCUCAUCGCAUCCUGGGGCGGUAGUACGUCCCAAGGGUUGGGCUGUUCGCCCAUGAAAGCGGUACGCGAGCUGGGUUCAGAACGUCGUGAGACAGUUCGGUCCAUAUCCGGUGUAGGCGUUAGAAUAUUGAGAGGAGCCUUCUUUAGUACGAGAGGACCGAGAAGGACAUACCUCUGGUGUACCAGUUAUCGUGCCAACGGUAAACGCUGGGUAGCUAUGUAUGGAGUGGAUAACCGCUGAAAGCAUCUAAGUGGGAAGCCCACCUCAAGAUAAGUAUUCGC
rnacentral:rRNA from 1 species